GUAGCAGGAAGUGCUUGCACUUUGCUGACGAGUGGCGGACGGGUGAGUAGUACUUAGGAACAUGCCUUUGUGUGGGGGAUAACCAUUGGAAACGAUGGCUAAUACCGCAUAAUGUCUUUGGACCAAAGAGGGCUUUCGGGCUCUCGCGCAAAGAGUGGCCUAAGUGAGAUUAGCUUGUUGGUGAGGUAAAGGCUCACCAAGGCGACGAUCUCUAGCUGUUCUGAGAGGAAGAUCAGCCACACUGGGACUGAGACACGGCCCAGACUCCUACGGGAGGCAGCAGUGGGGAAUAUUGCACAAUGGGGGCAACCCUGAUGCAGCCAUGCCGCGUGUGUGAAGAAGGCCUUCGGGUUGUAAAGCACUUUCAGUUGUGAGGAAAGGUUGGUGGUUAAUACCCAUCAGCUGUGACGUUAGCAACAGAAGAAGCACCGGCUAACUCCGUGCCAGCAGCCGCGGUAAUACGGAGGGUGCGAGCGUUAAUCGGAAUUACUGGGCGUAAAGCGCACGCAGGCGGUUAUAUAAGCUAGAUGUGAAAGCCCCGGGCUCAACCUGGGAAUAGCAUUUAGAACUGUAUGACUAGAGUCUUGGAGAGGGGAGUGGAAUUCCAGGUGUAGCG
rnacentral:rRNA from 1 species